CCUCCUUUCCCCCCCUUUUGUUUCUCACCAACUCAAAUCUCCAAUCCCUAAUCCCUAAACAAAAAAAAUCCCCAAUUUCAAAAAUCUCCAAAAUACUGUACCAUCUCUCUCUCUCUCUCUCUUUCACUCUCAUGUCUGCAAGCAGCGGCAGUGGCAGCAGCAGCAGCAAGAGGGGACGAUGGCGAGCAGCGAGCGAUGACGGUGAGCAGUGAGUGACGACAGCUAGCAGCAGCAGCGGUGGUGCGGCAUCUCAGAUACCUUUGCCGAUUCAACCCGUCCCUUCGAUUGAGCUAUUAGGGUUUUGCCCCAAAACGAAAACCGACUGAGGCUAAAGGAUCAGCUGUAUCAUCUAUGGCAAUGCAAGGAUCAAGCACAGUUAGUGGGAAUUUAAUUGCUGAUGGAGUUGAGGGCAGAGGUGGCAAAAUUAAAAUUCUGUGAUCUCUAAAUUAGUCAUCAUUGGUGGGUUUUGUCUUUAUUUGUCAUUAAAGUCUUAAAUACAAGGUCCUUAGGUUGUAGCCCUUGUACUUGAAACUCCCAAUUUAUUUGAUCAGUUGAUUUUGCAA